rnacentral:rRNA from 1 species
AAGCCAGUGCUGACAAGACCCCGGUACAAAUUCUACAAGGGAUCGAACUACUUCGAGAUCGACAUUGACGUGCACCAGUUCAGCUACAUAUCGCGAAAGGGCCUUGAGACCUUCCGAGAGCGGCUGAAACAUGGUGUCAUCGAUCUUGGGCUAACCAUUUAG